AGCUUGCUAUAAUUGUCAGCUAAGUGGCGCACGGGUGAGUAAUGUAUAGAUAACCUGCCCUUAAGAAAGGAAUAACAGUUGGAAACGACUGCUAAUGCCCUAUAUGCCUUUAAUACAUAAGUAUGCAAGGGAAACGCUUUAGUGCUUAAGGAUGGGUCUGUAUGGUAUCAGCUUGUUGGUGAGGUAAUGGCUCACCAAGGCUAUGACGCCUAACUGGUUUGAGAGGAUGAUCAGUCACACUGGAACUGAGACACGGUCCAGACUCCUACGGGAGGCAGCAGUGGGGAAUAUUGCACAAUGGACGAAAGUCUGAUGCAGCAACGCCGCGUGGAGGAUGACACAUUUCGGUGCGUAAACUCCUUUUAUAUAGGAAGAUAAUGACGGUACUAUAUGAAUAAGCACCGGCUAACCCCGUGCCAGCAGCCGCGGUAAUACGGAGGGUGCAAGCGUUACUCGGAAUCACUGGGCGUAAAGAGCGUGUAGGCGGGUAUAUAAGUCAGAAGUGAAAUCCAAUAGCUCAACUAUUGAACUGCUUUUGAAACUGUAUACCUAGAAUGUGGGAGAGGUAGAUGGAAUUUCUGGUGUAGGGGUAAAAUCCGU
rnacentral:rRNA from 1 species